rnacentral:rRNA from 1 species
AGCGAACGCUGGCGGCAGGCCUAACACAUGCAAGUCGAGCGCCCCGCAAGGGGAGCGGCAGACGGGAGAGUAACACGUGGGAACGUACACUUUGGUUCGGAACAACCCAGGGAAACUUGGGCUAAUACCGGAUAAGCCCUUACGGGGAAAGAGUCAUCGCCGAAGGAUCGGACCGCGUCUGAUUAGCUAGUUGGUGGGGUAACGGCCCACCAAGGCGACGAUCAGUAGCUGGUCUGAGAGGAUUAUCAGCCUCACUGGGCAUGAGACACGGCCCAGACUCCUACGGGAGGCAGCAGUGGGGAAUAUUGGACAAGGGGCGCAAGCCUGAUCCAGCCAUGCCGCGUGGGUGAUGAAGGCCCUAGGGUUGUAAAGCCCUUUCGGCGGGGAAGAUAAUGACGGUACCCGCAGAAGAAGCCCCGGCUAACUUCGUGCCAGCCGCCGCCGUAACAC